rnacentral:rRNA from 2 species
UGGGGAAUAUUGGGCAAUGGGCGCAAGCCUGACCCAGCAACGCCGCGUGAAGGAUGAAGGCUUUCGGGUUGUAAACUUCUUUGGCCAGGGACGAUAAUGACGGUACCUGGAGAACAAGCCACGGCUAACUACGUGCCAGCAGCCGCGGUAAUACGUAGGUGGCAAGCGUUAUCCGGAUUUACUGGGUGUAAAGGGCGUGUAGGCGGGUUGGCAAGUCGGGUGUGAAAUUCAUAGGCUUAACCUAUGACGGUCAUCCGAAACUGCCGAUCUUGAGUGUCGGAGAGGAAAGUGGAAUUCCUAGUGUAGCGGUAAAAUGCGUAGAUAUUAGGAGGAACAUCAGUGGCGAAGGCGACUUUCUGGACGAUAACUGACGCUGAGGCGCGAAAGCGUGGGGAGCAAACAGG